rnacentral:rRNA from 1 species
CAGCAGCCGCGGGAAUACGGAGGGUGCAAGCGUUAUCCGGAUUUAUUGGGUUUAAAGGGUCCGUAGGCGGACUUAUAAGUCAGUGGUGAAAGCCUGUCGCUUAACGAUAGAACUGCCAUUGAUACUGUAAGUCUUGAGUAUAUUUGAGGUAGCUGGAAUAAGUAGUGUAGCGGUGAAAUGCAUAGAUAUUACUUAGAACACCAAUUGCGAAGGCAGGUUACCAAGAUAUAACUGACGCUGAGGGACGAAAGCGUGGGUAGCGAACAGGAUUAGAUACCCGAGUAGUCCCUGUCUCUUAUAA